rnacentral:tRNA from 1 species
AAGAAAGUAUGCAAGAACUGCUAACUCAUGCCUCCAUGUCUGAAUACAUGGCUUUCUUA